AUUGAACGCUGGCGGCAUGCUUUACACAUGCAAGUCGAACGGCAGCGCGGGCUUCGGCCUGGCGGCGAGUGGCGAACGGGUGAGUAAUGCAUUGGAACGUGCCCAGUAGUGGGGGAUAGCCCGGCGAAAGCCGGAUUAAUACCGCAUACGACCUGAGGGUGAAAGCGGGGGACCGAAAGGCCUCGCGCUAUUGGAGCGGCCGAUGUCGGAUUAGCUAGUUGGUGGGGUAAAGGCUUACCAAGGCGACGAUCCGUAGCUGGUCUGAGAGGACGACCAGCCACACUGGGACUGAGACACGGCCCAGACUCCUACGGGAGGCAGCAGUGGGGAAUGUUGGACAAUGGGGGCAACCCUGAUCCAGCCAUGCCGCGUGCGGGAAGAAGGCCUUCGGGUUGUAAACCGCUUUUGUUCGGGAAGAAAUCCUCUGGGCUAAUACCCCGGGGGGAUGACGGUACCGGAAGAAUAAGCACCGGCUAACUACGUG
rnacentral:rRNA from 1 species